UGAGGAAUAUUGGUCAAUGGGGGCAACCCUGAACCAGCCAAGUCGCGUGAAGGAUGAAGGUCUUAUGGAUUGUAAACUUCUUUUACACGGGAAUAAAGCGGGGGACGUGUCCCUCUUUGCAUGUACCGUGUGAAUAAGGAUCGGCUAACUCCGUGCCAGCAGCCGCGGUAAUACGGAGGAUCCGAGCGUUAUCCGGAUUUAUUGGGUUUAAAGGGUGCGCAGGCGGGAUGUUAAGUCGGCGGUGAAAUUUUGCAGCUCAACUGUGAAAGUGCCUUCGAUACUGGCUUCCUUGAGUGUGGAUGAAGUAGGCGGAAUUUGUGGUGUAGCGGUGAAAUGCUUAGAUACCACGAGGAACUCCGAUUCCGCAGGCAGCUUACUAAGCCACAACUGACGCUCAUGCACGAAGGCGUGGGGAUCAAACA
rnacentral:rRNA from 1 species